UUAACCCAUUUUUGUAUGGAAUGGGAUCGUUUGCGUACGUUUGCCGCUAGGGGCGCUGUUCCAACUGCAUACAAAAAUGGGUUA
rnacentral:pre_miRNA from 1 species